GGAUUAAUACCGCAUACGAUUGAAAGAUCAAAGCAGCAAUGCGCUAGGAGAUGGGCUCGCGGCCUAUUAGUUAGUUGGUGAGGUAACGGCUCACCAAGGCGAUGACGGGUAGCCGGUCUGAGAGGAUGUCCGGCCACACUGGAACUGAGACACGGUCCAGACACCUACGGGUGGCAGCAGUCGAGAAUCAUUCACAAUGGGGGCAACCCUGAUGGUGCGACGCCGCGUGGGGGAAUGAAGGUCUUCGGAUUGUAAACCCCUGUCAUGUGGGAGCAAAUUAAAAAGAUAGUACCACAAGAGGAAGAGACGGCUAACUCUGUGCCAGCAGCCGCGGUAAUACAGAGGUCUCAAGCGUUGUUCGGAAUCACUGGGCGUAAAGCGUGCGUAGGCUGUUUCGUAAGUCGUGUGUGAAAGGCAGGGGCUCAACCCCUGGAUUGCACAUGAUACUGCGAGACUAGAGUAAUGGAGGGGGAACCGGAAUUCUCGGUGUAGCAGUGAAAUGCGUAGAUAUCGAGAGGAACACUCGUGGCGAAGGCGGGUUCCUGGACAUUAACUGACGCUGAGGCACGAAGGCCAGGGGAGCGAAAGGGAUUAGAUACCCCUGUAGUCCUGGCAGUAAACGGUGCACGCUUGGUGUGCGGGGAAUCGACCCCCUGCGUGCCGGAGCUAACGCGUUAAGCGUGCCGCCUGGGGAGUACGGUCGCAAGAUUAAAACUCAAAGAAAUUGACGGGGACCCGCACAAGCGGUGGAGUAUGUGGCUUAAUUCGAUGCAACGCGAAGAACCUUACCUGGGCUUGACAUGUAAUGAACAACAUGUGAAAGCAUGCGACUCUUCGGAGGCGUUACACAGGUGCUGCAUGGCCGUCGUCAGCUCGUGUCGUGAGAUGUUUGGUUAAGUCCAGCAACGAGCGCAACCCCUGUUGCCAGUUACCAGCACGUCAAGGUGGGGACUCUGGCGAGACUGCCCAGAUCAACUGGGAGGAAGGUGGGGACGACGUCAGGUCAGUAUGGCCCUUAUGCCCAGGGCUGCACACGUACUACAAUGCCCAGUACAGAGGGGGCCGAAGCCGCGAGGCGGAGGAAAUCCUGAAAACUGGGCCCAGUUCGGACUGUAGGCUGCAACCCGCCUACACGAAGCCGGAAUCGCUAGUAAUGGCGCAUCAGCUACGGCGCCGUGAAUACGUUCCCGGGUCUUGUACACACCGCCCGUCACAUCAUGGAAGCCGGUCGCACCCGAAGUAUCUGAAGCCAACCGCAAGGAGGCAGGGUCCUAAGGUGAGACUGGUAACUGGGAUGAAGUCGUAACAAGGUAGCCGUAGGGGAACCUGCGGCUG
rnacentral:rRNA from 1 species